GAGGCAGGAGGAUGGGGCAAAAAACUACAGUGGAUAGAGGUGUCCUGAGCAUGGGCCUGCCAGAGUCCUUUUCCUGCCGACCUGGAUUCAGGCUGCCUCGCUGGAUACCGCAGGGGAACCCUGCCAAGACCUGGCUCCAACCUUCCAGAGUGCAUUUACUCAGUGAGCAUUUAUCAAUGCCCACAAGGGACUCAGGCGGCGCUGGAAACAGAGUUGCACUCUGGGCCUUCACAAGAGACAAAGGACUGAUUGUAAAAUCCCCACAAGCAAGAUAACCAUCCCGGCAGUGCAUCCUGCAGCUUCCUGGGUCUCUCUAACCCGUGCUGGGCCUUGACCAGGUUUCCCUGCUGCAAAACCUGCUUCUGCCUUCUCAGCAGUCUUACAAACUCUUCUCACCCCUGACCUGGCUUGCAAGUGGGGUAUUUUCAAGCCUUCCAGCCCCUUGUCCUCUCCACUGUCCUCACCUCCAUGGGACAGCACUGGGUGGUGUAUUUUUCAACUACUCUCAGCUCACCUGCAACCCCAGGGCCUUUGCAUUGGCUGCAGUCUGGUCAGGAAUGCCUUUCCAUCAUGUUGUCCCACUGCUGGCCCCAAUGAUUACUUAAUCUCCCUUUAAACAUUAGCUGUUAGCUUGCCGUGGUAGCACACACCUGUAAUCCCAGCACUCUGAAAGCUGAGGCAAGAGUGUUUUUGGGAG